rnacentral:rRNA from 1 species
ACUCCUACGGGAGGCAGCAGUGGGGAAUUUUGGACAAUGGGCGAAAGCCUGAUCCAGCAAUGCCGCGUGAGUGAAGAAGGCCUUCGGGUUGUAAAGCUCUUUUGUCAGGGAAGAAACGGUGAAAGCUAAUAUCUUUUGCUAAUGACGGUACCUGAAGAAUAAGCACCGGCUAACUACGUGCCAGCAGCCGCGGUAAUACGUAGGGUGCAAGCGUUAAUCGGAAUUACUGGGCGUAAAGCGUGCGCAGGCGGUUUUGUAAGUCUGAUGUGAAAUCCCCGGGCUCAACCUGGGAAUUGCAUUGGAGACUGCAAGGCUAGAAUCUGGCAGAGGGGGGUAGAAUUCCACGUGUAGCAGUGAAAUGCGUAGAUAUGUGGAGGAACACCGAUGGCGAAGGCAGCCCCCUGGGUCAAGAUUGACGCUCAUGCACGAAAGCGUGGGGAGCAAACAGGAUUAGAUACCCUUGUAGUCC